GCCAUUGUGGCUCAGCGGCUAGAGCACCAGCCCACACACCUAAGGGUCACGGGUUCAAUUCCAGUCAAGGGCA
rfam:Myotis brandtii contig249487, whole genome shotgun sequence.